rnacentral:tRNA from 1 species
GCCUGUGUAGUGUAGUGGUCAGCACGCUCGACGCGCAUUCUAGAGGCUCGUGGUUCGAGUCCCGGCGAGGGUA